rnacentral:rRNA from 1 species
UACGUAGGGUGCAAGCGUUUAUCCGGAAUUAUUGGGCGUAAAGAGCUCGUAGGCGGUUUGUCGCGUCUGCCGUGAAAGUCCGGGGCUCAACUCCGGAUCUGCGGUGGGUACGGGCAGACUAGAGUGAUGUAGGGGAGACUGGAAUUCCUGGUGUAGCGGUGAAAUGCGCAGAUAUCAGGAGGAACACCGGUGGCGAAGGCGGAUCUCUGGGCCAUUACUGACGCUGAGGAGCGAAAGCGUGGGGAGCGAACAGG